rnacentral:lncRNA from 1 species
AUUAUUUAGUUCCUGGAUGUCUACACUCCCUCAGCAUGUAAUAAACCUUACUGGAAAUUUUAAGAACAAAGUUUUUCCCUCUUUAUUUUGAAAGGAUUGUCUUUUUGAGUUAUUUUUUUUUCUUCUUUUCAACACACUUUACUGGAAAACAUGUUACUCCUGGGCACAUGCUGUCUGCAGGGAAGAUAGUUAUUUGCUAUUUUAUAUUUCUUCUUAGAUUUCUAUAAAGAGAACUAAGAAAGGAUGUAGACAUAUUGUUAAUGUCUCUCUCCAAGCUGUAUUUGAGAUUCUCAGCUGUUGGGAACUGAUUUUAUGUUGGUGGAAUUACCCUCUGUCAGCUGAGCGUCAAGACAACCAGGAGUGCCCCUGCAAAACUUUCCUCCUCAGUCGCAGUGACUAGAGUUUAACUCCUUGCUGAGACAGGACAGAGAGCUGUCAUAUGUAGGCAGUUCUGCCUUUUUGGUGCUCUAGUCUGUGUCCUCAUAAGUAUCUCCAGGAAGCAAGCGCUCACGCUGAACAUCUAUGUCAGUCCAGGUUUUCAAGGAGUUGACAGCCUCCCUGGCAUUCCUCUUCUUAUGUUGGCCUAAAAUAUGAGGCUCUGUUGCUGCUCAAAGCUAGCUGACCAUUGCAAUGGGAAGUGUGGGGGGAAAUGCUGUUGGGAAAUGAACAGUGAUAUCUUUGAUUCAACUGCAUCACCUGACGGAUAGGGAAGAGUUUCUGAAGCACAGAAAUAGGUAUCUGAGGUGGGAGGCAGAGUGGCCAGAAGUGUAUGUGGGGACAGGAG